AAUUAACCAACCCUCGUCGUGUCUCUUCUCUCUCCCAUUCCCUCUUUGUUCUCUCAUUCACUCUCUCCUCUCCUCUCCUCAUUCCCUCUCUUCCCUCUUUCAUUCGCAGAAGCUCAUUUUUGAAGAUAAACUCUUCUCUACAGCGGGUGGGCACACUUGGACAAAAAUAAGGUAAGUAACUUUUGUCCUUCGAUCAUCAUCAUCAAUGUCAUGUUCUUUUGUUUUAAAUUUUUAUUUUCUCGUUUCAUGAUUAGUAAAGUAGGUAUUUUUUCAUGAGUUAUUGCCAAAGUUAGGGCUUUUAAGUUCAUUAUAUAAUAAAUAAUUUAUAAAAGUAGUUUGAUUUGUUAAUUUAAUUUUUUUUGUGAGUGUGGUUCCUCAAGCACCAUUUCCAGUUUAAAGUUUAAAGUUUCGUGAGGAAAAGAGAUCACUGUUAAGGUGAAAGGAGGUUCAUCAAAAAUCAAGCUCAAGUAAUAAUUUGUUAAGAUGUCAUCAAGAAAAAGGAAGGUUGGAGAUUCUGGGCAGACCAAUGUCAAGCAAACAAAGGCAAGUGACAAGGGUAAAGGAAAAAUUCCAUCUGAACCUGAGGAUGAUGUAGAUGAGAAGGUGUCUGUUGAGGCACUGAGGCACUGAUUAGACGGCUGGUAAAGCAAACACCGAAGAAAGAAAGUGGUGAAGCCAGUAAAAGUAACCCCAUUAAAGAGUGCACCAUGCAAGAUGAGGAGAAAUGUACGGCACAGUUGGUUGGCGUUGUGAAGUGGAGAAAUUAGUGAAGCUCGUGAGGAGUAUGACUCCAUAACAGAAGCAAGUUAUUAGGGACAUUGGAUUUGGUUCCCUAACUUUUACAGAUGUCCCUAGUGUCAGGGGUGGGCUGAUAUGGUACUUGUACAACAAUAUAGACAUUGACAAUUUCAAACUCAAGUUUGAUGGAGUCAGAUACCCUAUAAUAGUGGAGGCAUUCGAAGGAAUUAUAGGAAUAAAAGAUUAGGACCAGGAGAUAUACUUUGACCCUAUCAUUGAUGAUGAACACAACAUUUAUGAGGAAAUACACACUAAUAAGCUGACUGGAUACCAAGACUUGAUGGAAAAAGCCAUCGAAUUUGAUCAUGCUGACAUAUAUUUCGUUGCAAGAUUUAUGCUCAUUGUGAUGGACACAUUUUUUUGUACCCACUUUUGGAACCUUUGUUCAGAAGGAAUACGUAAAUGUACACCAAGAUAUUGACAAAACUAAGAAAGCUAAACUAGGCCUCUUUCGUUGUACAAUUCCUCCAAAAUUGUGUUAUAGGCCUCCGUGGCCAUGAGAAGAAGGCUGUCCAGAACGAGAACAGAAAGAGUUAUCACUACCUCCCAGGAUGCACCUUUUUUCUUCAGGACAUAAUUUCUCAACCAUUAGCAUGUUUUUCUUUAUGAAAUUUGGUGUUGCUUUUUACUUAACUCACUAUUUUUUUUUUUGUAUUUGUUCUAUUGGAAUCAUAUAAAAUGGAAGCAAGCAUGCCUAUGCCCCACGCCAUGGACUUUCGCUUACUUAUUGGAAAGGCCAAUGAGUCACGAGUUUGGGGUUGUUUGUCUCAAAGACCUGAGGUUAUAAUGGUGACAAGAUUCCUCUACGGAAGCCAAUGUACCUGAUGCAACCCACCGACCCAGCAAACAAUGUGACCACAUCCUCCAACCAAUUUAGGUCUAGCCAAAACAACACUUGCUGAAACUACAUCCUUAGGGAUGAAAUACGUCCGCGAGAUGAAUAGAUGAAGGAGAUAAUUGAUGCAGCUAGAUGCAGCUAAUGCUUCAAUGAAGAAAUCAAUUGACGUAUUCCAAGAAGAGACUUCCCAAUAAAUUCGAAGGGAAAUUUCCAAUCUGAGGCAAAAUAUUGUAAAAGAUAUUUCGGGAGCUCUUCUGGAGAAGAAGAAGGGUGAUACUAAGCCAGUGGAGGUUGUCAAGGAACCAUUUGCACCUGAUGAUGGAUUAAAGGUCGAUGGUUUUGCGUCUGAAACAGAGACACUGCUGGCUGAGAGCUUUGAUUAUAAGAGCUUGAUCAUGACAUUGCACUAGAUGACCUUUUAAUGUGCAAUUUGAGUUGGUAUCUCGAAGCCCAAAAUUCAUUGAAAAUUACUAUAGAUGUCGAUGAGCAUGUCACACCUCCAAGAAAAAAGAAGAUUUUCCAAGUGGAGUUUAGUCAUUUUGUUACAACCCCUCCGUACAAUAAGUUAGAGAAGAAAUUCAAAACAAGAAAAUGAAAGGUUGUGGGGCCAUUUUCUAUGAGGACUGCACACACUGAAGAAUAAUUUCGGUUGAUCAUGUUUGUCAUGGGAAAGGGGUUGGAUAAGUAGUAAGUAUACUUUGUAGUAUACCCAUUGUUCAUCAAAAUUAACCAUUGUAAUUCAUUUAUAGGCAACGACAUUCUUUGUCUUUCUAUUGACAGCCAUGCUCUUGUAAAAUUUGAUAAUCUUGUAUUGUUUCGCGAUGACUUUUCCACCUUGCUUCCGAAGAUGGAGGUUCAGAUUUCGAUCAUUAGCUGCUAUGCACACGUCCUUACUUUACAGGAACGAAAAAAUGCAGUAGAAGGAGUAGGUACUUAGGAGUUCAUGCCGUGUUGGGUUUUGACAUGAAUCUGGAUGCUCCAUAUUUUAUUAGCAUAUGGGCAACGAAGAACAAUUGGAAUAAAUUGUUUUAUGGAAAUCUCAAUACAAUCGAGCAUAUGCAGAUGGUGGUUCCUGUCAUCUGCAAAACAAGAGGCAAGCACUGGUUCUUGGUAGAUGUUGACCUCUUGGUCAAUGAGGCCUUUAUUUGGGACAAUAUGAGGACUGCCCGAGGUCCUAAACACAAAGAUUGUCAUGCUCUUGCUACUUGUGAAAUGAUAACUGAUUAUAUUACUUAAUGUUCAAUUUUUCUUUGGUUUAUAUUACAUUGCUUAUUGUCAGAGUAUAUUGGUUUUUAAUGUUCAAUUUAUCUUGGGUAUUUUCCUUUGUAUUUCUGUAAGAGAUUUCACGCUUAGUUGAAGUUAUAGGUACUUACCAUUUGUUGAACAAAUUUGAUCUUCCACAUGUUCUAGCCGAAGACAUUAGAUGAUCUCUUUCAAGUGAAUGUGAAAUAGGAGAAAGGUAUAAGUUCACCUUUUUGUCGUUGGGUGUGGAGUAUGUAGAGGCAGUCUCGCAACAAGAAAAUGGCAUGGACUUGUGGUUUUUGUGUUGAAAUUGAUGCAAUAUCUCUCAAACAGACGCCAAGGUGAAUUGAAGGUUGAUGCUGAACAGUUCAGAUUUGACACCAUGAUGAAUCUCAUUCAACAUCAGGGCAACACAUUUCGAUCACAGGUUAUGGAGGAUUCAUAAGAAAAUUAUAGGAUUGAUGUCCAUGUUGAUAGUGUUAGAGAAUAUAUAUUAUAAUCGCUCAAUGGAGAUAUGAAAAAACCAAAAUUACAACUCUAUGCAAAGAUACAAUGGACAAGAUAAUUGAUUAAAUAAAUAUUAUAA